CUUUGAACGAGAUGUAUAUCAAUUUAUUAAAUCCUGCAUUUCGAUCAGAUGGAUUAAAAAUGUAUCCGACACUUGUCAUACGUGGUUAUUAAAAACUGGAAGAUACAAAAGUUAUGCACCGAGUGUAUUGAUCGAUCUUAUAGCUUGUAUUCUGUCCUUAAUACCACCGUGGACACGGGUUUAUCGCGUACGUGAUAUACCUGUGCCAUUAGUAAGUAUAUCAUAUGAAGAUACUAUGCAAGAUAUUCUAGUUGGUUUACUCAGAUUAAAGAAAUGUACUUGAAAGAUUUAUUUUGUAGACUAUAUGAUGUAUACAUGUAUCAAUAUGUAAUUAAUAAUUAUUAAUAAAUUUUAUAAUUUCUUGUA